GACAUUCACACAAUAAGCAAUAAAAUCGAACGAUAAAUCACACAAUAAGCAACAAUAAGCUAUAUCAAAAUCCUGUGGCAUUCAAUGCCUUCUACAGCGAACAAUCCCAACAUUCAUUACUAUACUAACAAAAAUUUAUACGCUAAUAAAGAAAAUUGCUUAGACACAAGAAAAUUAGAUGAGGGGAGGUGUUUACCUUUCUCCGGGCAACUAACGAGCUUAAAUUGAAAGAAUUUCACCACUAGCAGAACCCACUUCUAAUUCACCAAAGUUCAAACGAAUUCGUUAGCGAUUAAUUUUUGUCGGGAUUGAACGUUUCAAAGGAAUUUCUCCUUGAAUUCUUUGGUUAUGUAGGAUUAGAGGAAUGCUCCUCCUGAAUCCUCAAUUUUUUUUCAAAGAAUCCUCCCUAUUUCUCUCUACAUAGAUGGGUAUUUAUAGAAGAAUUUGGGUUUGUUUUGAGGGAAAAUCGUAGGGGUAAAAAGGGAAAACAAGUUAGAAAUUUGAAUUUCAAAUUUGGGAUGAGGCUUGAGCUGGAAUUGUACGAAUUGGAACGUUGUUGCUAAGCUGUUUUUUUGCCGUUGUUGUACUAUUGUUGUCGUGGAUAUUGAGGGGUGGCAAAAUGGAUAAAUUAUAUGGUUAUCCGUCUGUUUUAUCCAUGUUAAAUGAGUUGGGUAUCCAACCCAUUUAAGAGUGGGUCAAAUAUGAGUCAAUCCAUAUUAUCCAUUCUAAAAUAUGGAUAACCCAUGGGUAUCCACCAAUUACACUCUCCUUAAAGUAUGACAUGUGAAAAUGUAGCAAUAUCUAAAGUAUACUUAUUAAGGGUGUGUUUGGAAUGAAGAAUUUUUUUUUCAAAAAUAUUUUUUUAAAAAAAAAGUAAUAGAAAAUAUUUUCCAUUUUUUUGAAUUUUUAUUUUCAUAAUUUUUUUUAAAAAAAAAUGACUUUUUUCAUUUAAAUUAUUUGAACAUUUUUUUUCUAUUUUUGUUUUCUUUUUUCCUUUUUCGUUUCUUUCUUUUCGUUUUUUUCUCUCUUCUAUAUUUAAUUUCUAUUUCUCC
rnacentral:lncRNA from 1 species